UUGACGGGGGCCGGCACAAGCGGUGGAGCAUGUGGUUUAAUUAGAAGCAACGCGAAGAACCUUACCAGGUCUUGACAUCCGCUGACAAUCUUGGAGACAAGACGUUCCCUUCGGGGACAGCGUGACAGGUGGUGCAUGGUUGUCGUCAGCUCGUGUCGUGAGAUGUUGGGUUAAGUCCCGCAACGAGCGCAACCCUUGAUUCUAGUUGCCAGCAUUCAGUUGGGCACUCUAGAGUGACUGCCGGUGACAAACCGGAGGAAGGUGGGGAUGACGUCAAAUCAUCAUGCCCCUUAUGACCUGGGCUACACACGUGCUACAAUGGAUGGUACAAAGGGCAGCAAAGUCGCGAGGCUAAGCAAAUCCCAUAAAACCAUUCUCAGUUCGGAUUGCAGGCUGCAACUCGCCUGCAUGAAGCCGGAAUCGCUAGUAAUCGCGGAUCAGCAUGCCGCGGUGAAUACGUUCCCGGGCCUUGUACACACCGCCCGUCACACCACGAGAGUUGGUAACACCCGAAGUCGGUGAGGUA
rnacentral:rRNA from 1 species